rnacentral:lncRNA from 1 species
UUUACUUUGAUUGUAUCACCAACAUGAUCUUAUACUGCAAUUCAAUUUUCCAUUUUUCCUUUUUGGGGCUUGUCAACUUCUGUUAAGGCAGAUUUUGUAUAUGCAUUUUUCACUCGAACAUCUCGAAAUACAUAUUUCAAGAAGCAAUAUCAGAAUAAUAAAUCGCAUAUAAACAAUAUGGAACACAGAUCUGACAACUUCGAUAAAAGUUCGAGAAACUAGCAAAAUACCACAAACGCAAUAAACAAGAACUGUAAAAAUUUCCCCCAAAAAAAAGAAAAAAUACAGAUUACAGAUUACAGAAUCAAGAACUCAGUGACCUGUAUAUACAUGGACUCCAAUGGCAAUAAGGAAAAUAGUGAUUAACCCAAAGAAAAUGAUAGUAUGAACUAAAAUAGAAAGACCACUUGUAUGCAUAUUUCCAAAUUCAAUUACUGUGUUCCUCCCCGGAAUCUGACACAGCAGCCCCGGAGUCAGCAGCACGAACAGCACCACCGCUAUCACCACCGGCCCCCAAUCUGCCAUUUAAUUUUUCUAUCCCUAGAACUCUCUCUCUAGAUCUCUAAAUGAGCAGCUGUGACUAUAAUUCACGCGGACACAUUAUUAGUUGUACAAUGGAAAUGGGGUGGUGGGGACGGGCGAAGGAAGUAGUACGUACGUGGCGAAAGCACGUGAGAGCGUAGCAU